AAAUAGGAUUCUUUUGAAUCCAUUAUAAUAUUCUUCACAUCUCUUU
rfam:Citrus sinensis cultivar Ridge Pineapple sweet orange scaffold00007_contig_204, whole genome shotgun sequence.